AGACCCGAAACCCGGUGAUCUAGCCAUGGGCAGGUUGAAGGUUGGGUAACACUAACUGGAGGACCGAACCGACUAAUGUUGAAAAAUUAGCGGAUGACCUGUGGCUGGGGGUGAAAGGCCAAUCAAACCGGGAGAUAGCUGGUUCUCCCCGAAAGCUAUUUAGGUAGCGCCUCGUGAAUUCAUCUCCGGGGGUAGAGCACUGUUUCGGCUAGGGGGCCAUCCCGGCUUACCAACCCGAUGCAAACUGCGAAUACCGGAGAAUGUUAUCACGGGAGACACACGGCGGGUGCUAACGUCCGUCGUGAAGAGGGAAACAACCCAGACCGCCAGCUAAGGUCCCAAAGUCAUGGUUAAGUGGGAAACGAUGUGGGAAGGCCCAGACAGCCAGGAUGUUGGCUUAGAAGCAGCCAUCAUUUAAAGAAAGCGUAAUAGCUCACUGGUCGAGUCGGCCUGCGCGGAAGAUGUAACGGGGCUAAACCAUGCACCGAAGCUGCGGCAGCGACGCUGAUGCGUUGUUGGGUAGGGGAGCGUUCUGUAAGCCUGCGAAGGUGACCUGUGAGGGUUGCUGGAGGUAUCAGAAGUGCGAAUGCUGACAUAAGUAACGAUAAAGCGGGU
rnacentral:rRNA from 1 species